CAGAUAAUAGUUUAUAGAAAAACAUGAAUCUUGGAUAUUCAAAAAACCUCGUCUGA
rnacentral:tRNA from 1 species